CCUACGGGAGGCAGCAGUGGGGAAUAUUGGACAAUGGGGGGAACCCUGAUCCAGCCAUGCCGCGUGUGUGAAGAAGGCCCUCGGGUUGUAAAGCACUUUCAGUGAGGAAGAACGCCUGGUGGUUAAUACCCAUCAGGAAAGACAUCACUCACAGAAGAAGCACCGGCUAACUCCGUGCCAGCAGCCGCGGUAAUACGGAGGGUGCGAGCGUUAAUCGGAAUUACUGGGCGUAAAGCGCGCGUAGGUGGCUUGAUAAGCCGGUUGUGAAAGCCCCGGGCUCAACCUGGGAACGGCAUCCGGAACUGGCAAGCUAGAGUGCAGGAGAGGAAGGUAGAAUUCCCGGUGUAGCGGUGAAAUGCGUAGAGAUCGGGAGGAAUACCAGUGGCGAAGGCGGCCUUCUGGACUGACACUGACACUGAGGUGCGAAAGCGUGGGUAGCAAACAGGAUUAGAUACCCUGGUAGUC
rnacentral:rRNA from 1 species